ensembl:lncRNA
CGAGUAGGGACAUGGCGCCCAUGACACGGAUGGCUCUACUAAAUGUAAGGUCGCUGGUGUUUUAAAUGACUUUUUCCUCGCCUUGGGGCUGUUUUGUUCCUGACGGAGACUUGGAUUAGCCCUGGUGAGACGUUCUCCUUCUCGGAACUUCUCCCCCCAGACUGUGCCUUCUUCAGCUCACCUAGGCUUACAGGCUGAGGUGGUGGCUUAGCCUCAGUUUUUAAAAAUAAACAUAAAAUUCGGCAGCUCCCCUCCCCUACCUACCCUAGCCUUGAAGUUCAAUUACUGGAGUUGGCCGAUUCUUCUAUAACUCUGUGUGUUGUGGUCUACCGACCGCCGAAAUACAACAAGGCUUUUAUACAGGAUUUUGCUGAGCUAUUAGGAUCUGUUCUUUUUAAAUAUGACGGUGUUCUUAUCACUGGUGAUUUUAAUAUUGAUAUCUGUUGUAAGGAUGAUCCAUUAGCCAAAGACUUUCUUGCUCUAACUGACUCUCUUAACCUUGUUCAGUGGCUAAAUGAACCAACCCACUCUAAAGGCCAUACCCUUGAUCUGUUUUUUUUUUUUUUUCAUAUGACGUUUGUAUUAAGAACACUGACAAUGUUGGGAUCUCUGAUCACUUCCCAGUUAUUUCUGAUGUUGAUUUAUGCACCCUGAGAGCCUCAGACGCCCUAUGCCCAUAAUUAAUUUUGAAACUGUGGCUAAUUUUUCUGUGGUGUUCGUUAAUUCUGCACCCACUAUUACUGAUUGUCCUAUACCUCAUACAGUUGAUGACUUUGCUAAUUCUUUGCUAUCCACAUGCUCCUCUAUCCUUGACGUUGUAGCACCUAUUAAAAUGAAAUGUCCUCAAACCAAUUCCCAACAUUGGUUAAACGAGUCAACACGUGCCCUACGACGUGUGUGGUGCAGAGCCGAGAGGAGGUGGAAAAAAGAUAAGCUUGAGGUAUCCUUUGAUAUCUUACGUACCAGCCGCCUGAAGUUUCAAAAUGCUGCUAAAAUGGCUAACGCAGCUUUCUUUUCUGAAAUUAUUGAGACUAAUAGCCCUAAUCCUCAAAUGUUGUUUAAAAUCUUUAAUUCAGUGGUUAACCCCUGUCAUGAAAUGCCGACGGUGUCGUCUCCAGGUCUCUGCGAACAAUUUUUAAAUUACUUCACAGAUAAAAUUUUAUCUCUCAAGUCUUCACACCCUUUAGUUGUGAGCCUUGCUUUCACCCCAGGAUGUUUAUCAACCUUUCAUCAGUUUGCGCCAGUGUCACUCACUGCUCUUAAGCA